rnacentral:sRNA from 1 species
UCGGGUGCCUCCACCUCCCCAGUCGGUGUCCAUGGCUGAGCAGCUCCGAGGGGAGCCCUGGUUCCAUGGGAAGCUGAGCCGGCGGGAGGCUGAGGCACUGCUGCAGCUCAAUGGGGACUUCCUGGUUCGGACUAAGGAUCACCGCUUUGAAAGUGUCAGUCACCUUAUCAGCUACCACAUGGACAAUCACUUGCCCAUCAUCUCUGCGGGCAGCGAACUGUGUCUACAGCAACCUGUGGAGCGGAAACUGUGAUCUGCCCUAGCGCUCUCUUCCAGAAGAUGCCCUCCAAUCCUUUCCACCCUAUUCCCUAACUCUCGGGACCUCGUUUGGGAGUGUUCUGUGGGCUUGGCCUUGUGUCAGAGCUGGGAGUAGCAUGGACUCUGGGUUUCAUAUCCAGCUGAGUGAGAGGGUUUGAGUCAGAAGCCUGGGUGAGAAUCCUGCCUCUCCCCAAACAUUAAUCACCAAAGUAUUAAUGUACAGAGUGGCCCCUCACCUGGGCCUUUCCUGUGCCAACCUGAUGCCCCUUCCCCAAGAAGGUGAGUGCUUGUCAUGGAAAAUGUCCUGUGGUGACAGGCCCAGUGGAACAGUCACCCUUCUGGGCAAGGGGGAACAAAUCACACCUCUGGGCUUCAGGGUAUCCCAGACCCCUCUCAACACUCCCCCCCACGUUUAAACUUUGUGCCUUUGACCAUCUCUUAGGUCUAAUGAUAUUUUAUGCAAACA